ensembl:snRNA U6 U6 spliceosomal RNA
GUGCUUGCUUCGGCAGCACAUAGACUAAAAUUGGAACCAUACAGAGAAGAUUAGCGUGGCCCCUGCUCAAGGAUGACAUGCAAAUUUAUAAAGCAUUCCGUAUUUAA